UCAUCCCAUAUUAGCUAACACUGCUUUCCUUUCUUCUCUCCCUCAGUCUUAAUAUGAUUACUGCUGUAAAAGAAUGAGUCUUAGGAAGCAAAUGGUAUUUCUUCUUUUCUUGUUCUUAAUUAUUUAUAUAUUUAUUAGAGUCAAACUUUAAAGCUUCUUGUGAUCCGUGUGUUCAAGUAGGAUCAUGGCAAGGGAAAAUUUAAGCAGUGUGCAGUGUCAGAAAGAAGGGAUGGGAUGGUGUGUAACUCCACAGAUUCUGCCAUCUCGACCUACCCAUGUACCUCCCUCUUCUCACUGCCCCUUCCCCCAAUAUACAUUCUUGGCUUAAGUUUUACAGGGCUUUGGUGCUUUCCAGGGGCACAGUCAGCACAAAACUAAUCGGCAUCAGUUAACAGGUAUGAAAACUUAGGUGUAAAAAGUUAUAUAAUUUUCUAUGUCUUAUAGCAGGGCUUGGGUGGAGGCCAAUGGGUAUUUAUUUAUGAAGAUUAAGAGUGGGAUUUUAUUUCAGGAAUUUUCUGUAUGUGUUGCUCAGCGUAACUGUCAUUUAUUGGUAAUACUGAAUGAGCUAAAUGAUUUCUUAAUACUUUACAUUUGAUUUAACAUCCAAAUAUCUGCAUAAACAUACAGCAGCAAUGAUACAGCCAGUGGCAGAAAUAAUUUCUAAUAUGAAAGAACAAAAUGCUUCAGAUGAACACUCCCCCAAAUCAUUUUGUAUGUGUGCCCACACAUGCCUUAUUAUAUCAAGAAAAAAUGUUUUUUUCUGUCAGGUUAAUCUUGUAUAUCAAAUGCUUUGGAAUUUAAAAGGGACAAAUUAUUCUGCUAAAAUACAUUAAAAGUAUUAUUUAUUUUUGUUAUGUGCAAGAUUUCACAGAUAUUGUUUCACACUAUUUCUACAGCUUCUAUUUUUCACAGACACUUAAUCUCUCUCUUCAUGGCACUGGCAUAGCUAAUUUCUUUGCAAAGUUAUCAGAAACAAAAAAUGGCUACUCUGCAAAGUAAUUUUACAAUUUUACAAUUUUUGUAAAACUGACUUCCCUGUUAUGUUAUUUUUGACCCAGAGGCAUUGCAUAAAGGGAAAAACAUUAAAUUAAAAUUGGCUGGUGAACAGACUUUUUGUUCUUCUCUUGCCAAUUUUCAGGCUUUUUGACACAACCCGAUUCCUAGUGAAACUCUAUGACUUAAAAAAAGCUAAACAGCAGAAAGGAUCAUGUUGCAAAUUGUUCCUUAUAAUUGUCACAGCCCAUGCAAAUUAAUAAUUUUUGAAAUUGGUGGAAGAAGGGGAAAAGUGAUGUUAAAACAGUAGGAGCCUGGGGAAACUACUAUUCUGAACAGUGUUCAACAAAGUUAAAUUUCUCCACUUUGCUUGCAUUGAAAGGACAAUGCAGUAAAGCCGACAUUUGGCAUUGUCCAGAGUUCCAGCUUUCAGGAAAUACUGUUUUAUUUUUUUAAUGUUCUAUGUGAUUUAAGGUUAUGAAUUGCAGAGUUCAGUUAGCAAUAUACUUGAAAAAAGAAAUAGUGUACUAUGAAAGAGGAAAAUAGAAACUAGAUAAUGCUUAAUGCAACAGAAAAGCUUCUGUUGAAUUGUGCGAUGGUAACAUAGCAGAAGCAUCUGGUGGCAUUUGUAUUUUUAAUCUGACGUUUAAUAGCUCCGUCUGUAAGGAUAUCUUCCAAAGUCUGUUAUCUGGGUCUUCUGUCCAAUAUUUUGCUGAAGAGGACGGGCGGUAUGGGAGGAAAGGUUGUAAUGAGCUUCAUGCCUUUAAAGGAUCCCCAUUGUAUGAUUUUUUUGUGAGCUGAACAAGAACUUCUUCUAUAUGCCCUUGUGCUGCAACAGAAUAAUAAAACUGGUAGGUGGCAGCAGAAGAAGGAGCUUAUGCAGAUGGCAUCCGAGAACAGAGAAUGCUGCCAUGUGGGGAGAGAUGGAUUCCAAAAUAUUAGCUGAUGUAACGUGCAAAGAUGAGAGACAGCUUCCUUGACUUGUUACUCUGCAUGCUUCUCCCCUGCAGGUUUGUAGAAAAAGGAAGUGGGAGAAGAUAAGCACCAGACCUCCAUUGCAGAAAGCAACUUUCCCACAUUGCUGUGCAACUUUUCAAGAUAGACACAGGACUCUGAUGCUAGGUCAGCAGCCCAGGGACUGAAAUUUUUGCACUGCAGAACAGGCUGUAUGAAGCAUCAAACAACAUUCCUUCCUCUCCUUUUAUGAAUUGUGUUCCUUGCCCUUUGUUUCUUCAGUUCUAAAAGGAAUGGAUCAGGGUCCAGAGGCUGGAAAAAUGGCAGCAGUGUUAAUGCAUUCAUAAAAUGGAAGUUACUCAAUAAAAUGUUAAUUUUUAAUUUGUGCGUGCAAUGUUUCCCUGCCAUGUUCUUUAUAAUGCAGCUAAUGAAUAGAACUAAUAACAAGAUCUAAUGAAACAACAGAAUAUCAGUGUUAACAUUUUGAUUUUCUGCUUGCCUGAUGUUAUUUAGAAGAGCAAAGCAUUGUUGGAAAAAUCACUUAAAUCUAUAUUGUUACAUAAUCUCUACUGUGAUAUAUCUAAACAGUAUGCCCUCUUUAAAAAAAUUAAUAUAAUUGUUCAGAUCAAUGAAUUGGUUGACAGUUGGACUUGCUGCUGUUUCAUCACUUUUGCAUGUCUGUGUUACUACACAUGUAGUAGAGUAGCUGUCAUGUCUUCCUAAUGGUAAAUAUUUUACUACUACUUUAUCUGGAAUCAAGCAGUUGUGCAAAACCUUCAGUUAUCAUAAUAAGAUGGAUUUUUCCUAUACCAAAUCACUUAUUCUUUUCUCAUGGGCUCUUGUAGCAUGAAAGUAUGCUCUGAUUUAUCUAGAGUGCUGAUCUAUCAGUAAGCUUGUUCUGUGCACUGUUGGAGUCAGACUGGCAUGGUAUCAUAUAACUCAUUUCUCCACAUUAUCAUUCAGGUACAUAAGUUGGGAAGCUAGGACUGAUCAGUUGGGGGUGGGGGACGUGAAAGUAAGGGAUUGUGAUGGAGUUUUAGCCACAUGCUUCAUGAGGAAUUGAAAAGUGCCAUUGUGCUUACACUCAGGUUCAACACUGUUGGUCAUCACAUGUGAUGUUCAUUUGAUGUAGUUUAGGAGGUUGGAUCCCUUCUCAUUACUUAGUGCAAUAUUGGGAAUAGUGGAAUUACUUUAGGGAAAAAUAUAAGUGGUUCUUUUUUCCCCUCCAUUUCCAUGAAAACUUGAAUUAAGUGAGCUACAUAGUGGCUACUGUCUGUUGAAUCCUGGAUUUUAAAGGUACAGCCAUUUCUGUACAUCAGGGGUUCAAAACUUUUAUGUCGAGCACACUAUGUUUGCAUAGUUAAAACCUGAAUUCAGAAAGCUGAUAGGAACAUGAUCCAAAGUGGA